CUCAGGGUCAAGGUGGACCUGGUGUUUGAAUCCAGGAUCAGCAGUCAGUAGGAGUCUGAUUGUUGGCAUAUUCUACAGCUCUAUCUUCACAUUCCAUCAGAUAAUUAAGGAAACAUCAAAGGCCUCCCAUUUAUAUUGAAUGCUGAAGAGUAACAGGAUGGAUAAACUAAUGGGAAACUAUCUGCUGGAUACAGUAAUGGCCAACAUUUACUGGAUAUUUACCAUGUCUGGAAUUGGGAAUAAUGUUCAAUCUUUUAUGUCUGUCUCAUUCAUUUAUUCAAAUUCCAAGCUACCAGAUGUAAUCCUCACAAUACAAUUC